GCAUAUCAAUAAGCGGAGGAAAAGAAACCAACAGGGAUUGCUCUAGUAACGGCGAGUGAAGCAGCAAUAGCUCAAAUUUGAAAUCUGGCGUCUUCGGCGUCCGAGUUGUAAUUUGUAGAGGAUGCUUCUGGGCAGCCACCGACCUAAGUUCCUUGGAACAGGACGUCAUAGAGGGUGAGAAUCCCGUAUGCGGUCGGAAAGGCACCCUACACGUAGCUCCUUCGACGAGUCGAGUUGUUUGGGAAUGCAGCUCUAAAUGGGAGGUAAAUUUCUUCUAAAGCUAAAUAUUGGCCAGAGACCGAUAGCGCACAAGUAGAGUGAUCGAAAGAUGAAAAGCACUUUGGAAAGAGAGUUAAAAAGCACGUGAAAUUGUUGAAAGGGAAGGGAUUGCAACCAGACUUGCUCGCGGUGUUCCGCCGGUCUUCUGACCGGUCUACUCGCCGCGUUGCAGGCCAGCAUCGUCUGGUGCCGCUGGAUAAGACUUGAGGAAUGUAGCUCCCUCGGGAGUGUUAUAGCCUCUUGUGAUGCAGCGAGCGCCGGGCGAGGUCCGCGCUUCGGCUAGGAUGCUGGCGUAAUGGUUGUAAUCCGCCCGUCUUGAAACACGGACCAAGGAGUCUAACAUCUAUGCGAGUGUUCGGGUGUCAAACCCCUACGCGUAAUGAAAGUGAACGGAGGUGAGAACCGCAAGGUGCAUCAUCGACCGAUCCUGAUGUCUUCGGAUGGAUUUGAGUAUGAGCAUAGCUGUUGGGACCCGAAAGAUGGUGAACUAUGCCUGAAUAGGGUGAAGCCAGAGGAAACUCUGGUGGAGGCUCGCAGCGGUUCUGACGUGCAAAUCGAUCGUCAAAUUUGGGUAUAGGGGCGAAAGACUAAUCGAACCAUCUAGUAGCUGGUUCCUGCCGA
rnacentral:rRNA from 1 species